rnacentral:sRNA from 1 species
GCCAGGCAUGGUGGCGCAUGCCUGUAAUCCCAGAGGCUUGGGAGGCUGAGAUACGAGAAUUGCAAGUUCAAAGCCAGCCUCAGAACUGUGAGGUGCUAAGUAACUCAGUAAGUCAUGCUGUCUCUA